rnacentral:rRNA from 1 species
AUGAACGCUGGCGGCGUGCCUAAUACCUGCAAGUCGCGCGAACAGACGAGGAGCUUGCUCCUCUGACGUUAGCGGCGGACGGGUGAGUAACACGUGGAUAACCUACCUAUAAGACUGGGAUAACUUCGGGAAACCGGAGCUAAUACCGGAUAAUAUAUUGAACCGCAUGGUUCAAUAGUGAAAGACGGUUUUGCUGUCACUUAUAGAUGGAUCCGCGCCGCAUUAGCUAGUUGGUAAGGUAACGGCUUACCAAGGCGACGAUGCGUAGCCGACCUGAGAGGGUGAUCGGCCACACUGGAACUGAGACACGGUCCAGACUCCUACGGGAGGCAGCAGUAGGGAAUCUUCCGCAAUGGGCGAAAGCUUGACGGAGCAACGCCGCGUGAGUGAUGAAGGUCUUCGGAUCGUAAAACUCUGUUAUUAGGGAAGAACAAAUGUGUAAGUAACUAUGCACGUCUUGACGGUACCUAAUCAGAAAGCCACGGCUAACUACGUG